rnacentral:rRNA from 1 species
GAUGAACGCUGGCGGCGUGCCUAAUACAUGCAAGUCGAGCGAAUGGAUUAAGAGCUUGCUCUUAUGAAGUUAGCGGCGGACGGGUGAGUAACACGUGGGUAACCUGCCCAUAAGACUGGGAUAACUCCGGGAAACCGGGACUAAUACCGGAUAACAUUUUGAACCGCAUGGUUCGAAAUUGAAAGGCGGCUUCGGCUGUCACUUAUGGAUGGACCCGCGUCGCAUUAGCUAGUUGGUGAGGUAACGGCCAACCAAGGCAACGAUGCGUAGCCGACCUGAGAGGGUGAUCGGCCACACUGGGACUGAGACACGGCCCAGACUCCUACGGGAGGCAGCAGUAGGGAAUCUUCCGCAAUGGACGAAAGUCUGACGGAGCAACGCCGCGUGAGUGAUGAAGGCUUUCGGGUCGUAAGACUCUGUUGUUAGGGAAGAACAAGUGCUAGUUGAAUAAGCUGGCACCUUGACGGUACCUAACCAGAAAGCCACGGCUAACUACGUGCCAGCCGCCGCCGUAA